AGAGGAGAAACCUGCGGCCGCUCUCGCUCUUUGUCUGCUCGGGGCUCGGAACAAAGGGGCGCGGGAUGAACUCUCGCCUCCCCGCCCCGGACGCCCGGCAUCUCCCUCUGGUAACUUUGCGGACGGGACGUUCUCCGCUGUCAGGCUGCAGAAAACUGUCCAGCGGCCGUCCGGCGGCGACAAUGGAAACAACGUCCCUUGCAAGUGCGAGCAAGUGGGGACGAAAGGCGUUGCUGGAGACUUUUUUCACAUUCUUGGACUGAUUCACUCAUUACAAGACAAAUGGAACAUCAAACUAACUGCACUGCUAAUGGCUGGAUGAAACACCUACAUAGUUUUUUAACUUCUUGAAGUUGGGAUUCUGUAUGGUGUGAGCUACAUUACGUAGCUUAGAAUGUUCAUGUCAGAAGAAAAUAUAUUAAGACAACGAGGAGUGGCUUGGAGCUAACCUUAAGUAGUUGCAAUUGUACAGGUGUCAUUAUCAUCAGAAUCGCUGGUUGCUGGUCCGAGGACUUCCUAGCAUGGCUUUCUGCAUCCUGCAUUGUUCUGUGGAGCUGCGUAUAUCAGCCAGGGACAAGGAACAGCAAGUCAAUACUGGCUGGGUAGCCAUCAGCUUCUUCAUUUGGAGUUACUUGAGAGAUACACUGUUAGCAUUUUUGAUGGUGUUUUCCUUAUGUGGAUUACUACAGCUGGAUGACUGGAAGUUCUUCUCCACCUUGUGAAGCUUCCUGUACUAGUGUGAUGUCACCCUCAUGCCUUUGGGACACCCCGUAUUUCAUUUUGCAAAUGGAAACUCCAGAAGAAACAAUUGUAUGCAGAGAGGGCGUUUCAGGACCUCCAGGUCUGAGCCUGAGGCUCUGAAUUCCAGUGUUCGCUGGUCACGUGACACCAUGCUUUGCAUCAUGGGACACACCUGCCUUUUAUGAAACACAUGGGCGAGACACUCAUCGAAUUUCAAGAAGGGUUGGCUUUACCACCAGCAAGUCAAAAUGAUCAACCGUGCCCCUCAGGAAUGCCUGUGUUGCAUACCUCAGAAGAUGCACUUAUGGCUUGGUGGUUGGCACGUGUUGUAAUCCUGUUGUUAAUAUGUGACGGCAGUGAGGAGAAAGGGGAGCCUCCAGAGGAACCUGAUCAGCAGGUGGAAAGCCCCAGGUUGGAAAAAUCCUACAGUGCCAACUACCUCCUGACGCCCUUUUGACAGCUACCUGCCCAUCCCGGCAGCAAAGCGCCCUUUCCUGGCCACCGGUGAUGACUGCGGUGCUGGUGGGAGUCCUGGGUGACUUGCCACAAUCCGCUGAGCGCCCCUUCUCAGCUGACACCAUGGCAACAUGGGAAAUGGAGCGGCCAUGUUUUGGUAGGGGCAUUUCCUGCCCAGGUUGGCCAAUUCUCCUGAUUGCUUUCCAUAUUUUUCAUCUCAUUUGUAUGCAUCCAACCAAUUAGGGUCCAACCGCCCCUCCCCUCCAACAUGCCACAGACUCUCAGGCUCCUGAAGCAGGAAGAGACCUGCCGUGUCAUAUGUCUCUGGAGGCGCUUGCGCUGGGGCAGUAGGCUCUACCUGCCUGUGAGAGCAGAGCUGCUUGUGGUGGGGUGCUCAACAUGUAUUCCCACCCUGUCACAGCUACAGGGGUUCUGAGCCACAGGCCCACCACCAACCUUGUAGUUGCAGCCUGCCAUGACCAGGAGUCAGAGCUGGAACCCCCACCUUUGCACCUGGCUGUGACUGAGUCCCCUUUCCCAUCCCACCUAUGUUCCCCUAUGUGUAAACAAAGCCAACCUGGUGUAAAUGAGUCCCCUCAAACACUCCCCAAACCAAAAUGCCACUCAUUUCUGGUUUAUGGAUGGACACAUGAAAUCUAUAUGCAAAAAUACUCCAAAUGGGAGAGAAAAGGAACAUCUUACUUUCUACUAAUAGAAAAAUAAUUAUGGCAGUGAAAGUGUGUAAGAAAAUAUUAAAUAUUAAAGCUAGGUUUUUAUGUUUAAGCAAUGUUUUAAAUUUACAUUUAAAUUUAAUUUACAUUGGAAAUGUAACACAGCAUGGUGCAAUAUUAUCUCUGUAAAACAUAACUUGUGUGGACAAAAAUGUCAUCAGUAGGUAACUGUACAUUAUGACCACCUAAAAUUGUUUUAUUUCCUCUGCACAGGUUUUCCACAUCAAGUAAGCAAUGAUUUCAGAACACCUAAGCUUUAUUAAGGCACUUUAAUGAAUAAAUAUAAGACUGACUUCCUUUGUUCAACUUUAUGUUUUCUGACAUGGUUCAGAUGACUGUAAGAAUUCUAAAACUUCAAAAGGUACCGGUUUAAGUCUGUUCAUACCUGGGAGGCUUUCAUUUUGAAUAUGUAAAUCAGCCCUCAAAGAGAACAGGACAUAUCGUGCCUAGUGUGGUAGGUCCUUUCCCCUUGGUUUCUUUGUUUCAUGUGUACAUGUUUGUAUACAUGUGUGUGAAUGCAUGUGUAUGUGUGAGUGUGUGUGUGAGCACAUGCAAACAUGUGGGUGUGUGAGUGUAUGUGUGCUUGUGAGUGCAUGUGUACAUGUGUGAGUGCGUGUUAGGUCACAAGUCCAUGUCGGGUGGACUCUAUUGUUCACCAUGUUACUCUAGGAGGCAAGGUGUCUCACUGACCCUGGAGCUCAUUGACUCAGCUGGAGUGGCUGUCUAGCUUGCUUCAGGAAGCUUCCUGUUUCUGUCUCCCCAGCGCUGGAAUUACAGGUUUGCACCAUCACCCCUGCCAUUUUGUAUGGGUACUGGGGAUCUGAACUCAAACCUUCAGCAUGAGUGGCAAGCACUUUACUCGCUGAACCAUCUUCCCAGUCUUCUCUGACUUUGUAAAGUAUGGCUAGAUCAAGCUAUAGCAUAGGUCUGGAUCUUUCCAUUCUUGUUGUACCCACGUCAUCCAGUCUUAUCUCGCCAUGGACAGGCUAGGUGAAGAACAUGGUGUGGGAGGGGAUAAGUAAUUUGACACUGGCUGAUCACAUUUUCUGGCUUCAGUUGAAGAGCUGAACACCUCUUUUGUGGUUCUGGGGAAGGAAUUAAAGUGACAGAGUUUAUGUUCAGUAUCUGUGAAUCAACUCUUUGAAAAGAAAGAUCAUUUGUUCUCCCAGGUUCUUCUCCAGCACAUGUGGAGGGCCAGUGCUCAAUGCAUAAGUGCUGGCGGAGUUCCGGAGAAGUGGACACUCUCCUCAGGCCUCCCACCUCUCACUAUCCGUGGUACCUUUCUGCCAUCACCACAGUUUUUGGAAAACUCUGGUAAAGCCACAUGCAUUUGAUACAUCUUAUACCCAAAAUAAUUUGUUUUCAUUUUGUUUUGUUUGCAAAUAUUUUCCCCAUCUAUCUGUGUGGCCUCCUCUCUCCAGCCAGUAAGGCAUAUUUACUAUUGUUGGCAAAUCCUAGCCCAGAAGCCAAACCGUUCUGAAUACACCUACAGUGGGUGGCCCAUUCUCUUGGUCUCCCCUUUCAUGGCCCUUCUCCCCUCCACCAUCAAUGGCCGCUAGACCCCCUUGCUGUGCACAGCACGUCAGAGCCUGGCAUGUCUUCGGAUGUGGAAUGUCCUUUGUUCUAAUGGAGGAAGUGCAAGCCUGGAGCAGGCAUGCGGCUGCUUGGAUGGAGUAUCAGGGCAGGUGGGGUAUAGCAUGCUGGUGUCAUGUUGGUGGCAAUCACGAUUCCCUGCUUGCAUCUUUGAGCUCCCAUGGACCUGAGAUGAAGCUUAUUUCCAGAUGACUCUGACAGUCCUUUCCCCUGACACCAGUCAUUAAGAGAUUAGGUUUCUUGAAGUAUCAGCAUUUGUUGGCCUCCUGGCUGAGCAGGCUAAGGCAAAAGAGGUUUCAGAAUAGAUGUUUUUAGCAUUGAAGAGGUGCUGAGUUUUAAAAACAAGCAUUUCACUGUGUGACAUGUUCUUCUGCCUACCGUGAAGGGACAGCUGUGAUUCUAAACCAUAUUUACGGUCAAGGGCAUCUAGGGGUGUUUGUAAAGGGAGCGAGGAGUUCUUUUGUUUCUUAUUCUAGCUAGUCGUCAUUAUAUGCUAUUUAACUACUUCAGUUGUUAUCCUCUCCUAACCUUUUUAUUUGAAUGGGAUUGGCAAAAUUGCUUUGAGACUUAUACUCUCCUUUAUCGGUGUUUAUCAGAAGAAUAUUUUUUAUGAUACAACUCACUGUGUAGUCCUGCUGGCCUCGAGCUCCUUAGUUAGACCAGGCUGGAUGAAUUUCAAUGAUCCUCUGGCCUCUGCCUCCCCAGCUUUGGUAUGCAAUGCCAUGCCUGGCUCUUAGGAUGAGACUUUGAAGACUUUUUUUGUGAACAAAGGGUUAAUCACAGGAAUUUCUGGAUUUUAUGAGUGAUAGUACAUUUAUUGAAGUGCAUAUUAAUGCCAGAAGAAGGACUGAAGUACGGGUGAGGAUUCAAACCAGUAGUAACAUGUAGGAACAAACUGGAUGCAAACCACAUUCAAACAGAUGGAUGUGACCACUUAUGUCAUCUUCAGUAAGCUUUAGCCACCCCUGUCAGGUAGUUUAACCAAAAAUGGGAUUACAAAGAGCCUGUGCCAAAAUGGAUAACAGGCACUAUACUUUUCUAAUGUUGUUAUCUUGUCUGUAAAUCGCUCCACGGUCAAGCAAUCAUUUUCGUCAGCGUCUUGACUUGUCUGACCAAUUAAACAAACAUGUCUCUGCAGCGAAAGCCUCUUAACUGUGAAGGGCUGGGCUCUGCAGGUAUAAUUAUAAGAAAGAAAAGUCCAUCAUCUGUCUUUUUUUGUUGUGCUAAAAGAAAUAAAUAUCCCAAGUAGAAUAAACUCAUGAUUAAGCAAAGGGAAACAUUUACCUCUUACUCCAAGCAGAUGGCAUCAAUAUCAAUAUGAGGACUUCAUAGAGGCUCUUUUCUUCCUUCUGUGGGAUCUGUGAUUUGAAGUAACAUUGGCAGUCCAACACUAGCUACUCAGACGUAUAAAGGCUAUCUUGAGCUGGAAUAUAAAAACACAUGUAAUAAUUAAUAUAACAGCAGCUCAAAGUGCCUGAGGUCAGUAGUUGGUACAUCAUAGCUGCAUGUAAACAAAGUAUUAGCCAAAAUGACUUUCAAAGGGCCCUAAUUACAUGUGUCUUAACUUAAUCUAGUUGGAUUGAAUGAUACUUUUUAUAUGAAUUUGCUUCAUGCUUACUCUGUUGAUUGCAGUUUCCUUUCUGUGAGAAGAGUGUACAAGGCAGCAAUGGGAAUCAACUUUUUUUAACCAUUUAGUGUUGUGACUUAAUGUAGAAAGGCCAUGGUGUCUUACGGCAGAGAGUCUUCCAUCAGAAGAAUGUGAUGUGUAUAGAGCAGUGUAAGCUUGCUUCUGGUUUGGUUUACAUAAGAAAUUUCUAUACACUGAAGGACAUGAAUGUAAUCGCCUCAUUCUUGAGGGGUGUGUGUAUGUGUGUGUGUGUGUGUGUGUGUGUGUGUGUAUAAUGGUGGGGUAACAUGCAUAUGAAUGAUCCACGUGUCCAUGGAAAUGCAGGCAUAUGCUUGCCAACACACACAUGAGGAAGCCAGAGGACAACUAUAGCUGGUGGUCCUGGCCUUGCUCCUGCUUUGAGGUAGGAUUUCUUGUUCUGUUCUGUUGUUCAAUGCCAUGUUCACUGGGCUAGCUGACCCAUGAGCUGCUGGGUGAAUAACCUGUUUUGACUUCCGUUUCUGCCCUGGAUGCAUGCUGGGAUUCCAAAUGCUAGUGCUCGAGUGUCUGGCUUUACAUGGGUUCUUGGAGUCUGAACUGAGGAACUCACCUUUGUCCCCCAAGCCGUCCCCCAGCCCAGUCCACUGGGUUUUGACGAAUUGUUUCCAGACUCAUAGUGCAGUGGAGAGUGCACUGCCCCCACACUAGUUCAGUCAGUGCCACCUCUCCAGACCUAUAAGUUGCCAUUGUUUUGACCAGCUAUGUGUCCUUGUUCUGUUAGACUUUCCUACCAUAGACCUUCAUGAAAAUUGGAGCUCAUCAUUCCUACUUCUAAUUAGUCAUCUCAACAUUAUAUGUCGUAGAAGUUAUGUAAUAGCUGAUCCUGUGUGUGUGUGUGGAGAAACAAGUGGUCUUGUUUCAAAGAAGAAAACAAUAAAAUUAAUGUUAUUUUAAAGUAGCUAAGUUAGCAAAUACUUAUUAAUCUGAUUUUAAUAAGUUGAAAUCAUAGGCUGGGCAUUGUGGUGUACACCUUUAAUCCCAGCACUCGGAAGGCCAAGG